GAUGAACGCUGGCGGCGUGCCUAAUACAUGCAAGUCGAGCGAACAGACGAGGAGCUUGCUCCUCUGACGUUAGCGGCGGACGGGUGAGUAACACGUGGAUAACCUACCUAUAAGACUGGGAUAACUUCGGGAAACCGGAGCUAAUACCGGAUAAUAUAUUGAACCGCAUGGUUCAAUAGUGAAAGACGGUUUUGCUGUCACUUAUAGAUGGAUCCGCGCCGCAUUAGCUAGUUGGUAAGGUAACGGCUUACCAAGGCAACGAUGCGUAGCCGACCUGAGAGGGUGAUCGGCCACAAGGGAACGGAGACACGGGCCAGACCCCUAGGGGGGGCAGCAGAAGGGAAUCUUCCGAAAGGGGGGAAAGCCUGAGGGAGAAACGCCGCGGGAGGGAGGAAGGGUUUCGGAUCGUAAAACUCUGUUAUUAGGGAAGAAAAAAUGUGAAAGUAAAGAAGAAGGUUUUGACGGUACCUAAGAAGAAAGCCACGGCUAAAUACGU
rnacentral:rRNA from 1 species